CUGGGACAAGAAGAGACUUUUCCUUGUAGCUUCCCACAAGCGCUGGCGACUUCCAGAUCACGAUGAUGUACUGUAUUGUGGCAGUGAACCACAGCUCCUUCAGCAACUGCCUGCAGCCCAAUCUCCUUCUGUGAGCAGGUGGAACAGGGCCACGGGAUGUAGAUUCCAAUCUGCAGGUAGUGAAUGGGGCUUUUUUGCACAGAGGCUCUUUACACACAGAACUGUGACUCCUGGAGCGAGAUACGAUCUGUCCCACACAAGGACAGAGCUCUGCUAAGUGGCCCAUCCUGCUGGGCUGCAGCCCCUACCUGAGCGCUCUCCCACCUGAAGUCACACUGGUGCCCUUCAGAUGGUUUUCAUUUGAACUCCCAGAUCUUCUUCUACCUAUUUCCCAAACAAGAGGACAAACCUGCUUCUUUAACAACAACCAAGCCACCCUCGCCACACUGCAAAGAGCUUCCUCAGCAUCCCGGUUUGAAACACUCUCUUUUCCUUCCUAAUGUCUGUGUCCAUGCCUGUGCUUCCC
ensembl:lncRNA